AGAGUUUGAUCCUGGCUCAGAUUGAACGCUGGCGGAAUGCUUUACACAUGCAAGUCGAGCGGCAGCGCGGGGGCAACCCUGGCGGCGAGCGGCGAACGGGUGAGUAACACAUAGGAACAUACCCAGUAAUGGGGGAUAACGCCGAGAAAUCGGUGCUAAUACCGCAUACGCCCUGAGGGGGAAAGCGGGGGAUCUUCGGACCUCGCGUUAUUGGAUUGGCCUAUGUCUGAUUAGCUAGUUGGUGGGGUAAAGGCCCACCAAGGCAUCGAUCAGUAGCUGGUCUGAGAGGAUGAUCAGCCACACUGGAACUGAGACACGGUCCAGACUCCUACGGGAGGCAGCAGUGGGGAAUUUUGGACAAUGGGCGAAAGCCUGAUCCAGCCAUUCCGCGUGAGUGAAGAAGGCCUU
rnacentral:rRNA from 1 species